rnacentral:lncRNA from 1 species
UAAGGAGAGAAAAAGAUCCAAGAGUUUGUCUGGAGGCCUUAGUGAGCUUGACAGAACUAGAUGAAAUUGGCCACUGGGCACUGGGACCCAGAAAGGCCUCAUUGCCACAGAGUUGCAACAGAGUGUGGGGUCCCAUUAUCAGAAUCCUUUCUAUGGUGCAUCCAAUUGGCUAUGACUCUCCUAAGAACAGCUCUGCAGGAAAAUGCAAGUUCA